rnacentral:rRNA from 1 species
GUGCCAGCCGCCGCGGUAAUACAGAGGUGGCAAGCGUUGUUCGGAAUCACUGGGCAUAAAGGGCGCGUAGGCGGCGACCCAAGUCAGGUGUGAAAGCCCUCAGCUCAACUGGGGAAUUGCGCCUGAUACUAGGUCGCUCGAGUGUAGGAGGGGAGAGUGGAACUCCUAGUGGAGCGGUGAAAUGCGUAGAGAUUAGGAGGAACGCCGGUGGCGAAAGCGACUCUCUGGCCUACUACUGACGCUGAGGCGCGAAAGCUAGGGGAGCAAACGGGAUUAGAUACCCCUGUAGUCC